UUGACAAACCUGGAUAGAGAAGUUCUCUAUCUACCUGCAGAACACACAGUAGACACAGCAGUAUGAGCUUCCCUACACUAUGCACAUGCCUCAGUUUUCUUGGGGACCACCCUGGGUAGGGUGAGGGUAGUUCAACCUCCAUGCCCAUUCAAUCCUCGGUCUCU
rnacentral:sRNA from 1 species